UUUUUAUUGUUCGUUGCUUCUUCUUCUUCGACCCUUCAAAUUCGCUCUCUGCAAAACACGUCUCUUCCUCAACUCUUUACCUCCCAACUUUUCUCAAAUACAUAUAUUCGUUUGGCUUCAUUCAACGUAUUCCUCUUUAAUUAGACAAUGUUUUUUUUUCAUUAAAGCCAAUUACAAUCUCGACCUCUCCGUCUCCCUUCGCAGAUAAUUAAAACCGUAAAUUCACCUUAAAUUCUAUAAAUUGGAGAUGGUUGGAAACAGGAUGAAUCUUCACAGACCCUCUCAGUUAAUCUUUUAUAUUCAAUUUGAUAGGGAGCUGUUCAUCCUCGACGAACAGCUUUGUUCUUUUCCAUCUUGACCACAUAUGCAUCUCUAUCAACGCUGACCGGUUCAGGUUCCACUUACACGAAGGUUUUGAGUCCAACUGUGGACUCAGUGGAGACCUCUACGGUAAACUCUGAAACGGACUUCAGCUUAUCUGCGUUGUAUUUGAUGCAUAUUAUUGAGCUUCUUUUCUAAUUUCACUUUUUUAACGUCAUUCUAAUUUCACUUUAUUAAUUUUCAAAACCACUAUUGUUGUUUACAAUUGGGUUUAAUUAAAAACUUUGGUAGCAAAUGGUUUAAACACCAAGACAACAUAGAACUAGAAAUUAAAACUUUUGUUGAGUUUACGUUGUAGUUCUUCUAUAUUCUUCUAUAUUUUGCGUACUGCUUUGUUAUUUUUAUAGAUGAUCUCCACUAAAAAGGCUUAUAUUUACCUGAACAAGAUGAAUCAUGUAAAUGACUGUUUUCCAUGUUUCUAAAACGCUACAAGAGGCACUCAUACGCAGAGAAACAGCUCAAUGGAAUAUAGCAGGCUUUAGGCUAGGGUUAAUCUUUUGGAGAGGAACCAAAGGCGUUAUGUGGAAAAGAUUUAGAAACAAUUGCGCAAGGGAAUUGCAGACUUUGGAGUAAUUGCUGGACACUUAUCUUAACAUAUUUUCUCCAGAAAAGUAUGUAUUUAUAUCUUCUUUACGGGCACAUACACACACACACACAUCUGAGUAAGAUGCUUGAGUUUGUGCAAAUAUAAAUAUAUGCCUAACUAUUGUAAGUGACGUAUAAAGAUUCUUCUUUAUCAUUAAAACUAUGGUUAUAGGUCAUGGUAUAUUGUUUGUCUCAUAUGAAUUACACUUUUGACUCACUGGUGUAUAAUCAAUAUAUUUAUGUGUCCCUCAACCACCUUCGAAGAAAGCCUAACAAUGUAUCU